AUACGGAGGGUGCAAGCGUUAUCCGGAUUCACUGGGUUUAAAGGGUGCGUAGGUGGUUUUGUAAGUCAGUGGUGAAAGCCUACAGCUUAACUGUAGAAUUGCCAUUGAUACUGCUUAACUUGAAUCAAGUCGAAGUGGAUGGAAUAGAUCAUGUAGCGGUGAAAUGCUUAGAUAUGAUUUAGAACACCAAUUGCGAAGGCAGUUCACUAGGCUUGUAUUGACACUGAGGCACGAAAGCGUGGGGAUC
rnacentral:rRNA from 1 species